rnacentral:rRNA from 1 species
AAAGCCUGAUCCAGCCAUGCCGCGUGUGUGAAGAAGGUCUUCGGAUUGUAAAGCACUUUAAGUUGGGAGGAAGGGCAGUAAGUUAAUACCUUGCUGUUUUGACGUUACCAACAGAAUAAGCACCGGCUAACUACGUGCCAGCAGCCGCGGUAAUACGUAGGUGGCGAGCGUUGUCCGGAAUUACUGGGUGUAAAGGGCGUGUAGGCGGGAAUGUAAGUCAGAUGUGAAAUCCCAGGGCUUAACUCUGGAGCUGCAUCUGAAACUAUGUUUCUUGAGUGUCGGAGAGGAAAGCGGAAUUCCUAGUGUAGCGGUGAAAUGCGUAGAUAUUAGGAGGAACACCAGUGGCGAAGGCGGCUUUCUGGACGAUAACUGACGCUGAGGCGCGAAAGCGUGGGGAGCAAACA